rnacentral:piRNA from 1 species
UCCAAAGCACAAACAUAUCCACACGGUGU